UACGUAGGGCGCAAGCGUUGUCCGGAAUUAUUGGGCGUAAAGAGCUCGUAGGUGGCUUGUCGCGUCUGCCGUGAAAGCCCAUGGCUUAACUGUGGGUCUGCGGUGGAUACGGGGCUGGCUAGAGGUAGGUAGGGGCAAGCGGAAUUCCUGGUGUAGCGGUGAAAUGCGCAGAUAUCAGGAAGAACACCCGUGGCGAAGGCGGCUCUCUGGGACGGUACUGACGCUGAGACGCGAAAGCGUGGGGAGCGAACAGG
rnacentral:rRNA from 1 species